rnacentral:misc_RNA from 1 species
GUGGGUGAAUUUGAUCAUGGACACACUUGUUGCUCUGGCUCUGGCUACAGAACAACCAACCAAAGAGCUCAUGGAUAAACCGCCCGUGGGCAGAACUGAGCCACUUAUCACCAANCAUUAUGUGGAGGAAUCUAUUGGCACAAGCCUUUUAUCAGAUAGUUGUUCUCUUGACACUUCAAUUCAAAGGCGAAUCCAUUUUUGGAGUGGCAGAGAGGG